rnacentral:lncRNA from 1 species
GAGGAAGAUGAGGGACCCAAGUGCCCAUGGAGGAAGAUGAGGAACCCAAGUGUCCGUAGAUGAUGAUGAAGGACCCAAGUGUCCAUAGAUGAUGAAGAUGAGGGACCCAAGUGUCUGUAGAUGAAGAUGAGGGACCCGAGUGUUUGUAGAUGAUGAUGAUGAUGGACCUAAGCGUCCAUAGAUGAUGAAGAUGAGGGACCCAAGUGUCCGUAGAUGAUGAUGAAGGACCCAAGAGUCCAUAGAUGAUGAUGAUGAAGGACUCGAGUCUGUAGAUGAGGAAGAUGAGGGACUCAAGUGGCCAUGGAAGAAGAUGAGGGACCCAAGAGUCUGUAGAUGAUGAUGAGGAGGGACCAAAGAGUCCGUGGAGGAAGAGGAGGGACCCAAGUGCCCGUAGAUGACGAUGAAGGCCCCGAGUGCCCGUGGAGGAAGAUGAGGGACUGGGGAACCACGGGAGGAAGACGAGGGACCCAGGUGACCGUGGUGACACCGCCCCCCCCGCCCCCCGUCCUCUCGUCCCCAGCUCCACCGCCUGGUCUUCAGCCUCCGGCACAGCCAGGAGCCGCGGGACGACCUGGACAAGGAGCCGCCCCUGGACGGGGACGUCCAGCUGCAGAAUGUGGAGGUGGAGCCAAGCGGCCAAGGGGCGGAGCCGAGCAGCCAAGGGGCGGAGCCGAGCGGCCAGGGGGCGGAGCCAAGCGGGCAAGGGGCGGAGCCUGGCGGGGCGGGGGGCGUGGCCAAGUACGUGGCCCCGCCCCCCGAGGACCCGGUGUGGGGCCGGGUGGUCAACGUCAACGCGCUGAUCAUGACGGCCGUCGCCGUCUUCCUCUGGGGCUACUUCGCCUGAGAUGCCCCAAAAUCGCCCGGAUUGAGCCCGAAAACGCCCCGAAACGCCCCCCAAAAGCCUCUCCCGAAAAAAGCCGCUCCCAAAACGUCCCCAACGCCUCAAAAAAUGGCCCCGAAACGGCCCCGAAACCCCCCAAAAACGCGACGUCGAGAAACGUCAAAAAAAAAGAAUGACCCCAAAAUUCCCGUAAUUGGCCCCAAAGCGUCAGGAAUACCCCCCAAAAAAUCCCCCCAGAGCUACCGCGGAAAUUUAAAAAAAUGACCCAAAAUGCUGUUAUCGCCUCCAAAAUCCUCAAAAACGCCUUUUGGCCCCUAAAACGCCCUUGAAUUCUUCAAAUAAAGCAAAAACACCCGGAAACGCCGCCA